ACAUUUCAUUGACAUCAGUGUGGGUUGAUCAGUGAAGGUGUAUGAUGCUCACAUCUUCAGGAAAGCAGGACAGUUCAGAAAGCUAAAAGCUGAAACAUUCUUUCCUGACAGGCAGCUUAUCACUGGUAACAUUGCCCUGCCCAUAGUGAUCCUGAAGGCCUCAGCAUACCCCUUGCUCCCCUGCCUCAUGAAGCCAUAAACCAGCCAUCUCACCAGCACCAAGGAAAGAUUCAACUACUAGCUUAGUAGAUGCAGAAUGACGGGCGAACGUGCUUUUGCAAAUCUGAAAGACUCUGGCAGUGUUUACACAGAAGAUUGGAAUGCAGUGAGAAAAAUAUCACAGUGCUUAUAACUGCCUGUUGUGUCCUUCAUGAUAUCUAUGAGGCAGAGGGGGAAGGGUUGCCUCCAGGGCGGAGGUGGAGCGGCUGUCUGCUGACUUGGAACAGCCAGACACAAGGGCCAUUACAAGAGCUCAACACGGAGCUAUGAGGCUGAGGGAGACCUUGAAAGAGCACUUUAAUGGGUCAGGCAUUCCACAGGAGGGGGUGCCCAUCAAGGACACAAAGGCAGCAGCAACAGAUAAAACAGACACGUAUCAUCAUAAUAAAAACAGAAAGUUAAGUUUCAGACUUAUUCCCAUAAAAGUUUUAAAUAAGGCAUGCUUAUUGACACUUCAACUUUGGUGUGCCUCUGCACACUAUCCUUCUCCAGCCCCAGCCAUCGUCAGAAUAGCCCAUUAGGGAGAGGGAGCAAAGGGGAAAAAGAUGAGGACAGAAUUUUUCUGUUGCAUGAAACAAUAAAAUAUCAACCCAUAUUUCCAUGGGUAUUGUUACCUGAAAUUGGGCCAGCUAGUAAGCUUAGGGAGAACUAAUGACCCACGAGAGUUUGGCAGAAAGCAUCACGUUUAUUAUACUGAUAACUAAGUUCAAAAGAAGUGUGUGUCGGGGGUGUCACAGUCAGACCCGAAUACUAAUGCUCCCAGGACAGGCACAGCACUGGAGAUGUCAGGAUUCUUCAAGGUAAGUGUAUGAAGGUAAGUCUUCCCGAGGCACAAUGGAAUGCAACGCAGUGAACCACUGGUCAGGCGGUCCGGGCAAAGGGCCUUCACAGGGAGGUACAAGCUUGUGAGUGCACUCCUGAGCAUGUGGCCCCUUCCCCUUUUAAGGACCUGCUGCUCAUGGCCUGCGACUAGAGAUGACUUGGCCACGUCCGAUUGGUCACACUCCACCUCAGGCAGUGUCCAUGCAGUGUCCAUGCACUGGGGGUGUGAGUGCUGCCUAAUUAGAGUCCCAGACGCCUUGUCUACCUGGGAGCUCUUCUGAUCUUCCAGCUGUUCAACCAGCCCAUUCAUCCCACAAGCAUUCCAGGAGGGAGGGGGAGGGGGAAAGCCACUUCACAGGUAUUCAGAGAGGGAGAGGAGACAAAAGGUGGGGGAGGGGCAGGGAGUGUAACAGACCUUUUGAGCAUACAGGUUAUACAGAGCAGAGUCAUACAGAACAUCCAGAUCACUGCUGCUCCUUCAACAGGUAUGAGUACAGGGCAAUGGCACCACGUAUGGGCACUAUUGCAUCCGAUGAAGUGAGCUGUAGCUCACGAAAGCUUAUGCUCAAAUAAAUUGGUUAGUCUCUAAGGUGCCACAAGUCCUCCUUUUCUUUUUGCGGAUACAGACUAACACGGCUGCUACUCUGAAACCUGUUUUCCACAGUUGGUGAUGAUUUAGCUGAUAUCUUACUCCUGAGGGUAACAAAGGCACAGAGACCACAGCUGCUGCUCAAGUUCUGAACAGCCCAGGCCUCUAUGCCACAAGCCAGUUUACUUCAAUGGUGCCUGCCAAGUUACUGCAGAGUGGUGUGGGAAAGUGCCUGAUCAUGGAGGACGAAAUAAGGCAGCCAUCUCUAGAAAAGCUUCAGAAGAGGAUUGCAAAGUCUGUCAAACCAGGGAAGGACAGACUUUCUCUGAGGAGGCCCCUCAUGGUGAGACAAAGUCUGCUGAAUCUUUGCAACAGCAGAAAAAGAUCCAGAAUGACCUGCUGCAGGAUGCGCAAAAGGAAUUUAUCAGCUGGUUAAAGCAGUGUCCAAGUCCUAAGUUCCAGAACAUGAGGCAGUGGGCAGCCCUGAAAAAGAAGUGCUGGAAAGCAGGGCAGUGGGAAGCCCUGGGAGGGAGCAAAAGAGAGCAGGCAUUGAUUCCCUGGAGAGUCCCUCCCAUCCUCACCUCCCACUACCUGUUCCUGGUUCCUGCUCCCAUGAAGGGAUCCGUUGUUUGGGUGUCUACACUAUCUGGUUCCUGACAUCACCAAGAUCCAGCUCCAGCUCUGUCCUAUGUUCCUGGUGACUCCAGUCCCCAUGCUCCUCUGCCCAGUCCUAGUGGCAGUAUCCCUGGCUCCCUUUGUGCUCUCCUGCUACCGAGGGCUCCCUGCCUGGGCCUGGCAUUAGAAACUGCUGGCUCAGAGGCUGCUCUGCAGACAGGGACAGAAAGGACAUACGUGGCCCAGGACCAGAAAUACUGGAAUACUCUGAGUCUGCAAAAAAGUGCCAGAACAGCAUUCCAGAGCAUUCCAGCACAACUUGAGCACUGGGUUGAACAAGCUUUUUGAACUGGACCUGAAAAAACAGGAUGCAAAAGGGAAGAUGCUGGAGUGGAAAGAAAAAAAUGGUGGCAGAUUCUCUACAACAUUAUUGGGAGAUGAGGUGAAAAGACUGGGAAAUGAAAGAAAGAGUCAGAAGUGCAUGUCUGGGAGACUCUUUGGUACGCUUGUCUCCAAUCCUGGAUUCCUCUGAACCCAGGGCCAGUCACAGCAAGUCACUGCCAUGUACUGCAACUUGUUGAGAACAUGGGGCGGGUGGAGGGGGUUGAACCACUUCAUGUAUAAUGGAGGUGCACGUGGUCAGUUGUGCCGUACCUUCACAGGGGAAAGAGAACAGGCAUGUGACAACAUGUAAUUCCAUGAAGUUUGACAUUACACUUUAAUUUUCUGGUUUUUGCACUUUGUUUCCAUUUGUGUUUCUGAGGUUUGUUGAGUGUUGGUUGUUUUGUUUAGGGUUAGCAUAGUUUUGGAAUUGCACCUGUCAGGUGGAGGGUUCCCAGGGUUGGGGAAAGGGGCCCCAGCCAUACUCCUGUGCAGAAAUACCAACCCUUCCUCCUAAGUGGGUCAGAGUUAACAAGCACCCCACUUUUACCUAACCCAAGGAAAGCCAGGAUAAGACGCAGAUCAGGAUACCUAGGAGUGCUUAUACACUCUCCCUUGCUCCGGCACAGCAUACAGCAAAACAGUCCCCGCCCCCCCAUGCCUGGCUAGACACACAUACACGCUCUGUGCCAAACUAGUGCAAUCCCCUUCCCUCUUUGGGUCAGUCCAAGCUGUCUGUGUGCUUUUGACUGGUAAUGGUGUGUGGUAUGAGUUCAGGAUCUGUUACGUGGUCUUAGCUCCUGUCAACUCCAGCUGUGGGUUUAUCAUGAGUCUCCCUUUUGUCAGCAGCUGGCUCGCCUCCAAGCAGCUCUUGCUUUGCCCUAGUUUAGGGCUCCAGCCUCCUGCCCUGCUAAAUUGUCUCCUUUUUCAAUUUUCCUGGCCAUGCCCUGUCCCGCCCCUUCCCACUCUCCUUACCCCAUCACUUAUUGUCUCAAUUCCUCCCUGCCGCAGAGUUAAUUCUGUGUAUUUGAGUGGGACUUCUCCCCAGGCAAUUAGGUUUGUGCAGAGUAGUAGAAAUGCAUGGGCUGGGAGGGGAGAGACAGGAAGGGGGAGGAUCUCUGGCUAGUUCCUCAACUUGUUCUGCUUUCUUGCAUUUGCACUUUAGUUUUUGGCAGAUGGACCAUCUGUGUUAAAAACUUUCAAUAAACAAGUUUGGACAACA